rnacentral:rRNA from 1 species
GAGAGUUUGUAACACCCGAAGCCGGUGGAGUAACCUUUUAGGAGCUAGCCGUCGAAGGUGGGACAAAUGAUUGGGGUGAAGUCGUAACAAGGUAGCCGUAUCGGAAGGUGCGGCUGGAUCACCUCCUUUCUAAGGA